rnacentral:rRNA from 1 species
AUUGAACGCUGGCGGCAGGCCUAACACAUGCAAGUCGAGCGAGCGGCGGACGGGUGAGUAAUGUAUGGGGAUCUGCCCGAUAGAGGGGGAUAACUACUGGAAACGGUAGCUAAUACCGCAUACCAUCAGAUGUGCCCAGAUGGGAUUAGCUAGUAGGUGGGGGAAUGGCGCACCUAGGAGACGAACCCUAGCUGGUCUGAGAGGAUGACCAGCCACACUGGAACUGAGACACGGUCCAGACUCCUACGGGAGGCAGAAGUGGGGAAUCUUGCACAAUGGGCGCAAGCCUGAUGCAGCCAUGCCGCGUGUGUGAAGAAGGCCUUCGGGUUGUAAAGCACUUGCAGCGAGGAGGCGUUACUCGCAGAAGAAGCACCGGCUAACUCCGUGCCAGCAGCCGCGGUAAUUC